rnacentral:rRNA from 1 species
AACGAACGCUGGCGGCAUGCCUAACACAUGCAAGUCGAACGGGACCGUCGGGUCUAGUUGCGCACGGGGGCGUAACACGUGGUAAGCUGCCCUUUGCUUCGCAAUCACAGUUAGAAAUGACAGCUAAUACCGGAGGAGGUCGAAACACCAAAGAUGUAUCGGCAAAGGGUGAGCCCGCGUAGGAUUAGGGGUUUGGUGGGGUAAAGGCCUACCAAGCGGACGAUCCUUAGCUGGUCGGAGAGGAUGGUCAGUCACAAUGGGACUGAGACACGGCCCAGACUCGUACGGGAGGCAGCAGUGGGGAAUAUUGGACGAUGGGCGAAAGUCUGAUCCAGCAACGCGGGGUGAGUGAUGAAGGCCUUAGGGUUGUAAAGCUCUCUUACCAGGGACGAUAAUGACAGUACCUGGAGAAUAAGCUCCGGCUAACUACGUG